rnacentral:lncRNA from 1 species
GGUCAGAAGCUGGCAUUUCAGAGAAGUGAAUUUUAGUUCUUCGCUGGAAUUCAGCAUCUUCCCUCCUCCAAAAAAUAGAAGUUGCUUAAUGCUGUGUUGGUAGGAGAGUCGGUCAGUACCUGAUACAGUAUGUUUGUAGUUUAAAUUCACUACUUGUUAUAUCCAAACAAAAAUUUCCUCAUGUUAAUAAUGGGUGUAAGACAGGACAUUGCUAGUUUUCCAGGUGAUGAGGAUUAAUCAUUACCCAAUUGCAUUUUGCACACAAAUGGUUUGUUUUCUUGUCCAUGCUGCCCUUCUCGUACAAAAUCAAAGGGUUAAUUUGCUACUGGGAACUGCAGGCCUGAAUGCUGUUGAGCAGCAGAAUAGCCUAAGAUGUCAUCUCUGACUGUGAGCAAGGUUGACUCAGAGGCCCUUUUAGAAGUCUAACUCAGAUUAGAAUGAAAUAGAACAGCAGCAACAACACUGUUCCCCUCAAAACCAAACAAAAACCAAAUCAACCUACUCCCACCUCUAGAAACAUGCAUGUGUUGUGGUCAUCAUUAGCAGAAACCACAUGAGCAAGAAAUAUUUGUAACAACAGUGCAAAGAUAGUAUGAAUUAGUUUUCCUUCUCUGAUUGUCUUAAAGAUUUCCUCCAACUUUUCAAAACUUCAGAGGGGCCACAGUGUUGAAAAAUGCACGCUGAAGAUUCAGGGGAAGCUGUAAAGCUCGAAAGUCUUGAAUUCCUUGCAGCAGAUGCUUUUUCUGUGUUCUGCUCCCUUUUACUCCAAUUCCCCUACACAAAUUGAGCUUUGAAGCUAGAAGUGAUGCGUAAGGAGACGGUUAUGUCUUUUUUGGAGAAAAAAGUCCAAGUGUAGCAUGCAUGAAUUCCUUCCAGAGUUGGACAGGCUUGCUUCAACAAUUUGUGAUGUUUAAAAGCCAUUAAAUUACUUAGCCAUCUGCUGUUAAUAAUGGGAAACUUCUGAUAGAGCUGAAGGUCUGAACAAUGGGAAUGAAUUGUUGAUUGUCCUUAAAGUGCAGUAGGCUUUGUUGUAAUCAUGAAACUGCAGUCUAUAAAUAUUUUAAGUAUCUUAAAAGUGUAUUUCUAACUCUCCCUUCUGUGGGCUUCUGAAUGCAGCACUCGUGUAAAUGAAAUGCAAUGUGAGAGGAUCUGAUUUAAUCCCUACUGGCUUCAAUGUGCCUACUGAGUUUGGAGGUAAAUCAGCCAUAGGCCACCUAGGGUUUAUUGUAACAAAUGUGAGCACAGGGAGUUCAGAUGAGAACAUUUUAGGCUUGCCUGGAGUGGGAAUGUGGAAGAAGCAGGGAGAAACUAUAGCUGCUCUUGUCAUUUUAUGGAAGUCUUUUUAGUUUACUAGGCACAGUAAGUUUUGCUGACUGAUGUGGUUUCCAAAAGUGUUUCCCUGCUAGACUGCUUCUGAUUAAUAAAAUAUAUGAAAGCAAAGGAAAAAUUCUUUCCUAGCCUUUUUUUCCUGGUACUUAUGACUAAUUUACAUUUUUAGCAUCCUUGAAUGCUACAGACCUUAGAUGCUUAGAUCCUUAAGAUGUUUACCAUCCUUAGAUGCUUAGAUCUGCAUGGUCUUUCUCUCAGCCAUGCUGGAAUUGUUCUGCUUGCAUUUUAAGUUGUUCAGAUGCUGACAUGCCCUGUACUGAUAACUCUGUAAUUGCAUUAGCACAAGGCUUUGUCCAACCUAGUAAUCCUUGGUGAGCAGCAGCGGAGUGCUACAGUAAUACAGUGCAAUCACUUCUUGAUUGGAGAUGGUGAGGAUCUGAGUGAUUCGAAGGACUAGCUGUUGCCAAGAGGCAGUAGAUGACAAUAUUGGGAUUCUAAUGUGACAUAUAGAAAUAUUUCAAAAACAAAAGAAUGCCUUUUUAAUAUGUAGUUGGUACCAUGUCAAAUCCGGAAGACCUUUGACUGUUUUGUUUGCAAAAAGACAGAACAAAUACCCAGUGCCACUAAUAAACUAAACCCGAGAAGUCUCCCAUGUCAGUGGUUCUUUAAUAGAAGACUUCACCAUUUACUUCCCUUCUGUUUUCCAGGCUAGAAGCAACGCUAGAAAUUAUGUUAACAGGAGUGGCACGUAGCUGACCUGCAUGGUAUUCACCAAUAGGCAGGAGCACAUUCUCCCCCAAGUUAAUAAUUUCUUAUCCCUUGGAUGACUCUGUAAAUACAUGUGCAGUACAGCUGGAGCUACAGAAGUACUAAAACAGUUUACAGUGAUGUUGGACAGUUAAUACACGGAAAAAUGCAGUGGAUAUCAGACACAAGAUCAUUCCCACGUCCAGCUGACAGCUUAGUGCCAGAAAUGCAGUGCUACUCAAUAGACUUUGGUGGACUUCUGCAGGCGCUGCUAAACCUGAUGGAGAUGGAGUGCACAGCAGACCGGUGUUGGCAUAGCUAAGUUCUAAGCAAGGAAAUGGACUUCUUGGAAACAGUGCUGAGGUAGUGAUGUCCGGUUUUCCCAGUUCUAACAGCUCCCAAGGUUUGCAGCUACUAGGUUUUCUGUAACGGCUUGUACUUGGAGAAUCUCUUUCAAAAUCGGUGAGCAGGGUGCUCUUGUGCUGGACUAUGAGGAGUAACUUUCUACGAGUUUUGGAACUGUGCUGAUAUGGCACUUGGCAAGCUUUACCUGGGAGCAUCUCGUGCAGAGAACAUGAAGAGCAUAUCAGAGGUUAGAGGAUAAAGAAAAGCAGAAAUAUUUGCUCUUCUCCAGAUGCCUGUGACUCACAUGCUGAUGAGUGCCUGUUCUGCUUUAGCCUCCAAUGCAUCUUUUGAGGCCUGAUGUUCCAGGGAAGUCCUUGUGCUGCAUAUAUUUGAGAUCAAAGCCAGGACCUAUCAAAUGUGAACAGGUUUGAUGACUAGAAAGACAAGAAAGCUGCUCCCGCACUUUGCUGUUCUGGUUCUGUACUUGCAGGAGGGGAAAAAAAGGAAAAGGAUGAGAAAGCAAGACUUGACUACAUGCAAUAGCAGAUAUGGCUGGAUGUAGAAGCAGAUCUGCAGAAAGCACUACACUUCAUGGAGGAUGGGACAGGAGAAUAGCCAAAGGAAGUCGAUGAGGAUGGCUGUACUGGUGAGGAACUAAGGAGCUGACAUUACUUCAUCUGAAGAGAAAAGAAGACAAAGCACUCCUUGUAUGGUUAAAAAAAAAAAGAGGCAGAAGCAUCAAAUGAAGGACUGUUUGAAUUGGAAAACUAAUGAGUAUUUCAGGUUAUUCAAAUCCACACUUACUCUAACACUGGAAGCCGUUCCAGCAGCAGCAGCACCUUGAGGAGGACAUCAGGAGGAGGUCAGAGAGUGCUCAAACAUAAGAUUGAAGUCUGCCAAACAUGAUGUCCACCAAAUUUUUACUGCUAAAAAGUUGAGGUCACCCAAUGAGAAAUACAGAGACAGUAAGAUGAUCAAAAUACCUCAGGAGAAGAAUGAAUGAACAAUUUGAAAAAAAGAGAGAAAAGCACUGUGCACUCCAACAACAGCAUCUUAAGUGCAAAACAUCAUUGUACAGAACUUUAUUACGAAGUGAUAAAUCAGCACGCUGAGGCUUCAUUAACUUCAGUGGAACCAGACUGAUUUAUGCCAGCUGAGUCAAUGGCUGCGUUUAUAUGUCUGCAUACGUCAAAAUUAAUCAUGUUUGGAAAAAUAGAAGAUUCUAGGAAUAUAUCCCAGAGGAGAAGAUAUAUAUACUUAUUUAUAAAUUCUACUAAUAAGGUGAUACUUAGCAGGCCUUUCUACAGGACUCUGAAUGACACAGCUGUCCUCCUCCAGAGUUGAACUUCUGCCCUCCUGCAUGGCAAGAAACAGAUAUGCACGUCCUCUGUCAGCACUCUCCAUCUCCAGCAUUCAGACUCCUGCAACCUUCCCACUGGUCCACAUCCUCACGCAGUCUUCCCAGUAAGGGGAAGAGAGCUGUAGAGAAUAGAAUAACCAUGGUUACUCCUACAUCGUCAGAAUUGGAAAGUAAUGUUAUCCAUGGGCUGAAGGAAGCUCAACCCUGCAGUCCAUUCUUCAAGCUCCUUCCCUACAAAUGCAGUGGGAGAGAUGUCAUUUGGGUGCCAAUGAGUUGUGUGCAUCAUAAAGGUGAUCACAUACCAAUUUCUUUUGGGAUCCACUCUAAAGAAAUGAAAGCUCAUUUUUUUCAGUUCAGAGCAUUUGCCAGUAGAUGGUGUGAGGAAUUUCUCCAAUCGCAGUGACACCAAAUGGUGCUGACAUCUGAAAAAAAAGCAGUGUUUUAUGACAGUAGCAAGAAUUACUUCUCCUUGUGAAUCUAUAUUCUGUCAUAGAGUUUACAAUUGCGCUUGCUGAAAUGCUGUCAUUUUCAUUUAAACUAAAGGUCCUCUGCAGCAGGCAGCUCCACAAAGGGUCUCACCUCGUCAACAGCCAUUUCUUAGGAGUGUGAGAUUAGCAGAGCGGCAGCUGAAACAAAAGCUACCUGUUAAACACACUGAGGGUCAGCUACAGGAGGAUGAUGCUAGAUGCUUCAAAAACAAGGCCUCAAGGUACACAGAAUAGAUGCAGAUUAUUAUUAAGAGUGACUGCAGCCCCGGUUUUCCUAAACCUCAGCUCUAGUGUCUAAAUCUGUCUUCCCAUUCCCCUUGUAAGAUAGCCAGAGCUGCUGGACUCUCCAACUAUUCAGAAGACUUUCAAACAUUACCUCUUCAUGAACACCUGAAAAUGCAAUACCUACAGGUAGCAGGCUUGGUUUUUCAGGUUGUGCAGCAUUUGGGAACUCUCUCUUGUUUCUGGGAUUACUAGUAGUUCAGAACUAAAUCAAGCUUCUGAUUUAAGUUUCUGAUGGUUAGGGUGAACGUGAAUGACUUCACACAACUUUAAUGGAAGAUAAACAGCAAAAUGACCCAGUUUGACACAAGAAAUGAAUUGAAGUUUAAAAUGACUCAGUUUCCAAAAGUUUUAUCGUGGAAUUUCUCUUUGUUACUGUUCCUGUAUUUGAGAGAAAUGUGGCACACAUAGAAGACUAGCAGCUAUUUUGGUCAGCAGUGAUUGAAAAAAAACCCAUCUACUUUCACAGUUUUAUUAGAAAUGGUAUCCUGAGAGACUGGAUUUGUAUUCUAUGUUUUUUUUUAGGCAAGGCUGCACUAUAUCUGCAGUUUUGCUGGCAGAAUUUGCAUCAUUAAUUUAUGCAAACCAAAGGCAGUGAGGAAUCCAGAAACCAUUUUAAAAUGUGUGUAAGUCAGACAUUUAGAACUGAAACAUCCACACUCUUCCUAUAGCCUAUUGCUGCGUGACUUCUUUUCAGUUCCUUCUGGAGUGUGCCAGUAAUCUUUUCUUCUCUUUGGUAAGCCAGAGUAACCCAGUAUAUGAAAAAGUGCUUUGAAACAUCUGCUCUGAAUUUGUUUUUUAAUUAAUUAACAAGUAAAUGCUUUUCUGGUUGUGGUGAAUUAUGGCAACUUGUGUUAAAAUCAUUUACCGUGUUAAAAAAUGUAAAGACUUCGAUUAUAGCAUGAUCUUUCUCCUCAGAUAAUUUUAAGAUGAUGUAGUUUCAACCUCUGUAGUUUCUCCUCAUUUUUAUAUGUUUUUAAUAUGAGAUUCCAGUUUAUUAACAGCUGCAUCACUUUACAGUGCUAACAGAUGCUAUUAUACAACCAGGCUAUGAGAACAGACUUCAGCACGCAGGUUUCAAUUUCCUUACCCUUAGUAACAGGGCUGCAGAAACCAAGAUGUACUCCCCUCCUUCUUUCAGUAUCUAAUACUUUAAUACUUGGCACUUAAUCUUUAUUACAGACACCAGUAAAGCAGAUGAGCAAAGUUAUUGUAAAGUCUUUUCAUACAGGAUUUAUCUUCUCUCCUUCACGUCUGCAGUCUGUCAUACAUCAAUUUGUGGUCAUAAGGUACAAAAUAACAGUUUUUUACUGAAAGAAAAUAAAAUUCUUGGCUUGGUUCAGAGCAGGGUUCCAGGAUAGCUCGUUGGGUAGUAGGCUACAGGCAUUCUGCCUCUGACAGGGCUUUGCUUUGCCUUCUCGGCAUAUUCAGAGAGGUGCUAUGUGGCAGGGAAGUGUUCAGAAUGAGGGACUGGGCCUCUACCACCUGCGGUGACGUUGGGCCACUUGGGACAAAGGACUGAUCAGCAAGCACAGCAUCCAGUUCUCUUACCUGGCAGCCAAGCCCAGGGAGCACCAGCUCCAUUUGUGCUGCUGAAUGCAUUUAGCUAUUCAUUAAUUUUUCGAUUACUACAGAUGAGCACACGAGCUCUUCUUCCUCCUCAUUCCUUCACCCUCCUUGUCCCAGAAUGGCUUUUAGCUGCAAUGCCUGGAACUCAGACAAGCAGUGUCGCAUCUUUUCUUGCAGGAGAAGAGAACAAAGAUUUAUAGUGUGAGCUAUGAAAUGAUGAACGAGGGGGAAGUGAUUCCUCCUCCUGCUAUCUGGGGAAAUCUAAUCUUGCAUUUUAGACUUGGAGAGCAGUCAGUUUUUUCCAGAUCAAAUAAAAUAUUUUGUGUAGGAAUGACCUUUUUGUUUAAGCAAGGAAAAUGGAAGAAAUAUAUUUGUUUCAGACUGAACUGAUUUAGAUUUUGGUUCAUUUUUUGAUAUAACAUCGUGGUAUUGAGGAUAAAAUAUUGAGCAGUGCCGUGAAGAAGGUUAUGCUGUAGUUACCAUUCAUGGCCAAUAUACUUAAGCUGGUAACAAAUGCUAUGCAAAAUGAUAUAGUAGGAACUCAUUACUAUGCUUGUAAAAUAAUUUAUGUUUCUCCUUUUUUGCUGACUACUGCCUUCUCUCACACAAAAUCACAGAAUCACAAAAUAUCCCAAGCUGGAAGGGACCCAGAAGAAUCACUGAGUCCAACUCUGGCUCCACACAGGACCACCCAAACCCUAUGUCUCAGAGCAGUGCCCAAACGCGCCCUGAGCUCCAGGAGCCUGUUCCAUGCCCACUGCCCUCUGGUGCAGAGCCGUUACCCCAAACCAACCUGACCCUCCGCUGAGGCGGCUCCAUGCCAUUCCCUCAGGUCCUGUCACCAUUACCGGAGAGCAGAGCUCCGUGCUGCCCCUCUGCUCGCAGUGAGGAGCUGUGGGAUGCCAUGAGAGAGCUUUUCUCUGGGCUGAACAAACCAAGGGACCUCAGCUGCUCCCCUCCACCCCUUGCCCUCCUCAGCAGCACGAGUUAUGAAAAGGAGGCAUGGAUUACAUCUUACAGGUAAGAUGAAAAGAAAAGUAUGUAUGAGUACAAUUCCAGAGUCUGUGACUAUUAGGAUAAGAAACCAAAUAAAAAAGAAUCUACAUCUCCAGACUCUAUUCCUGGAUUAACUGUAGAUGCAAUUUACAGGAGUUCUUCCAAUCAUCCCUCACUUUGUCUUGCUUCCACUCAAGUUCAUUGUCCUAAAAGAUCUGGCUUGUUAGGAAACAAAAACUAUGUUGUUUCAACUGCUAUGUGAUGAGUCACAAUGAGUGGUAGAGAUCUUUAGAAAUGAUAGGAAUCCUUAAUUCCAACUGAGCUCAUGGCUGCUAUGGAAAAGCAGACCCUGUAUGCGCUUAGAAGAGAAAGUAAAAUACAGUCUUUUCCUACAUUGAGGAACUUGCUUUUUCUCAAGCGUUGGCAUACAUUUGAUGAUUCAGGUCAAUGCAACCUUUCCUACAUCUUUCCUACUUAAAAGAAACCCUUUAGAACAGCAGGCUUUUUUUUUUUCUUCCUGAAAAAGUAACUAUCUUUGUUCCGCACAUGUUUCCACAGCCAACACUGCUGCACCAGACCUGAUAGAAAAUUGUUCAUAGUUCAGCGAGAAGCCGUUUAAAAGUCAGUCCUGGCUCCCCAGAUGCUAUAAACAUCCAUUUUGAUCAGUUAGAAAACCUGGUUGCUUUUAGUAAAAGCACAAGCAGGGAUGAUUUUGUUUUGAUUGUUUAACGCUGUUGAUGUUGCAAAUAGGUAUGUCAGCAUUUGAAAGAUGGUCCUAAGGCACUCGAUUUUUUAAUAGCAAGCAGAAUUCUCAUUAACAGGCAAUUUUAAAAAGCAAUAACAUUCAUUUUUUGGACUAUUAAGCAUAUAGAGUGUUUAUAUUUCCAGCAAAGAAUGAACUAAUGGAAAAUAAAAUUCUGUCAUGCACUAGUGCCACAACAUUGCAACAUAAUGUAUGUGAGGCUGAUUACAUUUCAGCCUUUCAGCGGGAUUAUACAUGAUCAAAGCUUCUGGAGUGAGAACUAUGUAACUUAAAUGAUUGAAAACAAUUUUAAUGUUUAAGUUAGUCUUCUCUCUUCUUUGAAAUAAAAGCUCGCCUCUUGUUAAUGAUGUGUUAAACUAAGAAACAACUGUCAGUGUAUGUACUUUCCUAAUGACGGGCAGAUACGUACAGUGUCAUAUCCGUUUGAUGUACAGUCUGUGCAGGUGCAUGGUACUGCUAGAGUUUACCCUAUCUGCCUAAAAAUACCUGCCCUUUCUGCUGCUUAAGUAGCAGAACAGUGCCAGUUCAAAGAAUGGCAAAAUGAGAUUCUUCCAUGUGUAUUGCCAUGCAGGCGUGACAAAACUACCCAAGCCCCUUUUGAAGGCUGCACUACCAGCAAAAGUGGGGAUCCACUCUUCUGCAGGGACUUGACCUUCCAUCCUCACCUUCCACUAACCUGUAAGCUCUCUGGAAGUGUGAUGAUUCGCUUCGGAAGGCCGAGGCUGUGACAUGGCUGCCCAUCAUGGCCAGCAUGUCUUGGACCGUCAGGCAUGCUUCCCAUGGGACUCCGUCAGUUGUUAGCAUAAUGAUUUUAUGGAACUGAAGUUUCUUCUGAAUUUUUAUGUCCAUUGGCACUAUGCCAACGUUAAGCAAAAUUCUGGACUUUCAGAUAAAGUAGCAAUGAGAGCUAAUGCUGAACCUUCUGUUUGUUAAUCUGCACCUAAAAAAAAAAGAUCCAGGAAAUCAAGAUAUGGAACGUGUGAAAAUAAAAUCUCAUUCUCUUGCUUUUCUUGGAAGUUGGAAUCAAAAUCUAGUAAAUUUCUGGUGCCUAACGCUGGUUAAUGCUCUGAACAAAACCAGGGCUGCUUCAUAAGGGUCAGAAAUGUUCUUUUCCCUACAAAGACCAUCAGUAUGACAGUGCUCAGAUAGUCUCUGUUCCACCACGCUGCAGCGCAACCAGCUGAUGUGGCCUAAGGCAGACAUAGCAUCAAACUGCAGAAUAAAUCUGUUUGCAGCGUAAUUAACAGCCUGAUCGCAUACAGGAAGAAUGUAAGUACCUUUCUUGAAGAGACAAUACUGUUGUCAGGAAAAUUUGAAAAACAAAAUCAAUGGAGGCGAUAGACAUGAAAAAAUAGCGUCCCUUCUCUCCUCUUUUCCCUUCUGUGUUUUCCCCUCCAAUUCCAUCCACCAUUUUGAUGGAAAAAAAAAUUCCAAAGCAUUACGGUCAUAAUAUCAAUUAAUCUGGUUGUCAGAUCCUUUUCUUUUUUGAGAAAGUUAAUGGUACCUCCCAAAUUUAAAAAAAAACAAAACAAUUUCAUGGUAUGCGUUGUUACCCAAAAAAGAUAUGAUUUGCACAACACUUUCCCCAUGUAUUUUCCUGGCUUCCAGAUCUUUUUCUUUGAAAAUCAUUAUGGAAAGUGUCGAACUGGCAACUUCUGACAUUGAUAUGUUGCAAAACGCCUCCACAGCAUAUUCGAGCUCUGCGUAACCUUCCAACGUAUUGAUAUGCAUCAGCUAGAAACAGUAAACUUUGUCGUAUUCUUGUGUUUUCCUAGUGAGACUGCCUUGAGGCAACUUACAGCACUACUGUGAACAUAUGAAAUCCUUCUUCCACUGAAAAGUCAGCUUGCCACUGGAUUUAAUGGAGCCAAGACAUUAGAUUUAUUCAGUGGAGGUAGAUAUGGCUUAGAUAACCAAUGGUGUAAAAAUCAGUGAGUCAACAAAUGUUUGGUGUGUUUAUGAAAUUAGAUAGAGAAACGAAUGCCCCUAUUGAUAAAAUACAUAAGAAUUGUCCCUCGCUAUUGAACAGCAACAUAAAAUGUACGUAUGAGGAAGCUCCCAAAUCCAAAGUAACAUUAAUCACCUCUCCAGCCCUUGCAACAACAUACAUUUAUGGCUGCAUUUAAAAUUGUUCUCAUUUCUUUUUCUGAAGGCCUCCAAGAUCCUGAUUAUGCUGUUUGAUGAUUCUACAUAAAAUAAACAUUUCUAGCCCAAGACAGACAGCAGCAUUGAAAAGCCCUUAGUUUUUUUUUUUUUUCCAGGUAAUCUUCAGGUAAGCAUGUGGUUAAAACUUAUUUUGUGUCCCUUUAAAAAUUUCUUGUUAGUGAACUGAUGAAACUCUUGUUUGGUUCAUUCCUACUUAGAAGUAGUGCUAGUUUUAGGUCACUGAUUGUUUAGAAAUUGGUAAUGGGGAAGAAGAACGCAAUACUCUCUCCUUCCAUCUGCCAGUUGACCUAUUGGUGUUGUUUUUCUUGUUUUAAAUAUUCAGCUGGGUCCACAGAUCUGCCUGAAAACUACAGCAAGACCAGGGCUCUUAUUUGGGGGACUAACAUCAGGCAAAUACAUUUUAGGAAAGAUUUGUGAUUGAACUGCUACAGAAAUUUGUUCCUACUCCUUUUAAUACCAAAUCACACUCUAGAACUGUUCACUGACCUUAACUGCAUUAACAGUGACUUCUGUUUUUAUGCAAAUUUGAAAGAACAAAACCCUAACAACUGAGGAUGCAUAAAUCCACCUUCCCCACACUCUAGCUCUGCUUCUAAUCUUAUUAUUACCAUAUAUAUUAAUAAUAUUAUAUAUCUAUAAAUAUAUAUAUAUAUUAUAUUAAUAUUAUUAUUUACCAUAUGAAGAGGAUGGAAAGAAACCAGACUUAGGUUUCUUUUUAGGUUUAGAUUUUAUACAGGAACAUCAGCUCCUAGAAACCUUGUCAUAGAUGCCCACAAACUCAAGAACUCAAGAGACAUCUCUGUUUUAGUUGUGCUGAUUUUCUUGUCCAAACUGAAAUAAAACACUGCUCCCGACCAUGUAAUAGAAACUAGCUAAAGUCUGCCCUGUGUGUUCCAUUUUCUCAUUUUGAUGCCUUGUGUUUGAAUGCCUUUCUGCUAAAGCAUCUGUCACUUUCCACUGGUCAUCAGCAUUUUUAGCUGUAAAAAAAAAAAAAAAAAAAAAAAAAAAGGGAAAGAAACUUAUUAGAUGAUAGAUUCCAGACAUUCAUUGGGAAUGAUGUAUUCAGUGGUAGAACAUUUCCCUUCCAUAUUCUUGUCUCCCCGAGCUGCUCUUCAGCACACUGUGACCAUUACAUGACACUGUAUUUCCCAGAGUUUACCAGGAAUUUGACAGACUGAGUGGUUGUGUGUUUUUAUGGUAACAAAAGGUAUUAGAAAUAUCACUACUGAAAAAGCUGCACUGGAAACCUGUGGAUGUUCCUUAUGGACGUUCCAGUUGACCUGUUUUAAUUCCCAACAUGGUUACAAUUAUUUUAGGAGAGAAAACAUCACACACAUCUAAUUAUUUGGAUCAUUUUCUGCUUUGGACAGAUUGCAACAAUCUUACACAAGCACUGGCACAAAGCAUUAGGGCAGUCUGGUUUUUGACCCACAUCUGAUCAUUUUGCAGUACACGCAACUGUGCUUCCAGUGGUAGAUUCCCCCAUGCAAAGUUCCUAAAUGUGGUAAAUAAAGCCAUCUGUUGUGGAAGCUGGGUUUGAAAAUUACAUGCCCCGUUAACCACUGUUCUGCAUAUGGAGCUAUUCAUGUCUUAUACAUAAGAAUGCCUUUCUGAAAGCAGUUUCGUUCACCUCAUUUUGCAUAUUUCUGGGCCAUCUCCCAGAUAUCUUCCUUCUUACAUUAACUUGUGUCAGACUGACGUCAUUUUUCUCAUGGUCGAUAAUUUUUGGAGGAAUGGUGUAGUAUUUUCCAUCCCAGUGUCUCGCUCUGUUAGUCUAGGCAAAGUCUUCUUGGUUCUUGGUGACCUUGGGAUUAUGAAUUCCACCAGCCAUAUGAUUUGCAAUUUCACAAAGUGAAACCAGUGGAAUGGUAAUGUGGGUAAGACUUCACUGUAAACAUACGUGCAUUUCAAUGAUGUCUGUAUUUUGCCAAUUUAAAAGACAAUACCAGACCACCCGUUACAAACUAGUUUUCAGCAUCCCGUUAUGACUGCUCUCAUCAUCUGCUUUGAUGGCUUUAAAAUACCAGGAUCUGUAGAGGCAGAGGAGCCCUGCAGAUCAUCCGGGUAGUCUUUUAGUAAAGCAUCUGCUUCUGUGUUUACCCUUGGUUCCUGUGUUUGAAGAAUCCAACACCCUAAUUGAGGCUGGAAAGCCUGAUUGAUGAUUUUUUUAAUAGCUGUUAUUCUCAUAAGGCACAUCAUCCAGGAACAGCCGGAAGAUAAAGAGUUGAAUACUCCACAGUUUAUUGGAGCUUGUUUUGAUGGCCUUUUGUCCUUGUUAAAAAGUCUGUGCUUGCCAUCUAUGGUUACUUCAAACCUUCCUUUUCUGUCAUAUCUAUUAAUGAAUAUACAGUUUUAUGAAGAAAAUUAGAAAACUGGAAUACCUACAAGAAAUACUGAACAAAUGGACUGGAAGAAAUCUGAGGGAAGUCUUGGUUAUUUCUGAAUCUCAGAAGUGCCAGGAACUGAACAAGAACUUUUCAUUUGAGUCGUGAACCAAGUAAACAUUUCUAAAUUUUUUGGCCACUUGAAUUUUAAAGAUAUCAACUGGUAUCUUUAAUGUGGAAUAGUUUAAAGAGCAGCUGUGCUCACUGUCUCCUAACUAGAUGAUUAUUUGAGAAGGGAAAACAUAUUUUUUGUUAUGUUCUGAAAAAUAGUCCAAAGUAAUCAUUUCCGUGAGGGUAGAUGAAAAAAAAAAAUCAGUGCCUCUAUAGAAAAUGCAACCAAAUAUUCUGAUUACGUAGAUAUAAAAAAGCAGUUGAAAUGCUGACAUAGAAUAACGGCUAAAUCCUUUUCCAGAUCCAUUUUAAAAUUAUUUUUCUUAUUCUUUUUCUCUGUAAUGUUGCUUUUUUUUUCCUAAAGGCUUAAUCCUGCUACUUUUAAAAUGGUACAUUACCCACAAGAUCAAAUGAGAUCCUGAGGGAAGUAUUCAAAGAGAAGGAAAAUGGGCAUGUUUAUAAUUCUUCCCGUUUGGCAAUUAGCUCAAAUGCCUAAAUUAAAAGAAUAGCUUCCCUCGGUUUACCAGAUGAUUAAUAGAGAACAUUCCAGUAGGCAAUUUGAAAUGCUAACCUAAGUUCUUGCUAUUAGUCUUCUUUUGGAACUCCUGCAUAUUUUUCCCUUGGACUGAGAAACGAGCUUACUUAAAUUAUUUAAAUUUAAGUGAUGUUAACAGCCCUGAAAAGUGCUGGUGGUCUUCUGUACCAAUAAAUUCCAACUGAUAACAAACAAAAGACCAUGAUGCCAUAAGGACAGCCGAUCUCGAACUGCUCAGAAUUUCCUUUGCAGGGCCUUGGCAAAUAAACUAGUUCUAAGUGGGUAUAACCAAAUGCAAUCAUUUCUAGGAAUGUAGCAUGGUAAAAAAUAAACACUGAAAGUCUAUAUAAUGAAUAUUUGCUAAUUAAUUACCGCAGUCUUCAUUCUGUGUUGUUCUUGUUUGUUUUUAAUAUAAUUUUUGUACCAGCUUUUAUUAAUGAGUAAUCUACUCCGUGUACGAGAGACUGCAGGAGUCUCAUUUUCACAGAGCUGAGAUGGUCUACGUUUAGUUAGAUUGCCUGUACACUUGCAUCAGGAUACCACUUACUUAGGCUUUCAUCUCUGUACACAUUUAAAAUAUUUCUUUUCAUUUUUCCAGUGUUCUCCUUUUCCCCUGUAGCAGGCUGCAGCAUUCAUCUCAACUUCUGCUUCGUGGUAAACGUGCUGCAAAAACGGCACAGUGACACAGAAAACAAAAUGAAUAAAUCAUUUAUUAAGAUUUACAAGGAUGAGCUCAUAGAAAUCCAGCUUCAAUCCCUGUUAAACCAGUUUUCUAAAUGCCACGGACAGAGUCAUAAAGCAAAUUUUCUAGCAGCAAAUUACUAAAAUAACCAUUCAGUUUCCACUAUAGGACAGUAAUCAACAUUUUGUUGCUUCUUGAUAUAUUUUCUACCACACUGCAGCCACGAUCAAAGAUCUAAAACUCCUAGGUGAAACUGCAAGCAAACACUAAUUAGCUUCCAGGUGAGCGCUGAUCAGUUUGUAGGAUUGCUUGCAGCUGGGCACACUCUGGAUCUUGGAAACAGCGUAGAACAGCAAACAGGCUGAGAUGUUUGAGAGAAAGGUCAUCUGUCUGAGCUUUUUCACUUCUGCCUUAGUUUUCUGUUUUCUUGGCAAGGUGCUGAAAACUUCCAAAACGUUUUGAAAGUUCAUCAUUUCCCAUUUGCUGUUUCUGCUUUGGAUAGAUAUGUGAAAAUCCUGGAAAACUCAGCGAAAGUAUUAAAAAAAGAACAACCACGUGACAUGAAACAUUCAAGCAGACAGAGCCAACUCUUGUCUACAGAUCUGCUGGAUGUUCACAGAUGUUUAUUUCAGAUUAGUGGGACUCUGUUAUUUCCAGCAUAGCUGUGUUUUUGUCCUUGGAAUUUCCUAACAUCUUAAAAACUGCUCUGUUUCUCACUUCAGCCACCACUUUAAGGCUUCUUGUCUCUCACCCCUCAGGCAAGACCUAGUUUUGCAUAGUUUACACACUCUUACAAUUCAGAAGCUUUCUAGAUGAUAUCCCAUCAGGCUGUCUAGCUCUUUUAUUGUAAACAUAGCUUGUUACUAUUGAAUGCAAAGAUCAACAGAAGCUGAUAGCAAUGAAUGAUUAUCACUAAUUCACUUUGGAAAAUAUGUUCCACAAGAAGAGUUGUCAUGAUAAAAAAAAAACCCGAAACUGCUAUGGAUGUUAAGAGUAAGAAUACAGACAAACGAAGAAGAAUUAGAGAAAUAAAUAAAAAAAUGAUAAAAGGAGAAAGCAGAUUGUUUCUUUGUAUAAUCACGAUCCUUUUGAUUGAUUGACAUGAAGGCCAUGGCUCACUUGACCUGAUUUUAUGUGUAAAGCUUACUAAAAUGAAAAUAAAAUAAAAUAAA